UUCUGUCCUGUGGCUUCUUCCCACACCGAGAGUCCACGGUUAGACUCACCGAUCUUAGAGAGCAGUGUCCUUGGUCACUUGUUUCGGGUCACCUGGUCAUUACUAUUCUCUCAGAGGCUGCGACAUAUUUGCUAAUGCAGGAAACAGUAAAAUCCUGUACAACAGGCAGAGGACAGGUAAGAGCUGGUGACCCUGGGAAGGCCACGAGGAAGCAUGGAUGCCAAGAACCUCCCUUAGGCGCGGCCGGUACCUCCCCAGGUCGUGUGACCAGGCUGUCCUGUGCCCGUCGUCAUUUUUAAGGAAAAUGACGUCGCCGAGAACGCCCACCAGAGAUGCCUGCAGGUAGAGGCCGGGGCUGGGUCCCUGUGGCUCCUUGCAGGGUUAAGAAGGGAGCGUGGUUGUCAGGGGGGCGAUGUGGCUGGUGCCAGAAGAGCAGUUGGUUUUGAGGGUGGGCAGGCAUCCCCGCCGCUGGCGAGGUGGCUCCGCACGGCGCGCCCCGGGCCAAGGGGCGGAGGAAAACUUGGCUUAAGAGUUUUCUUGCUUUUGCCUUAAAAUAUGAAUUGUUAUUUUAUCGCCAACACCGCCGGGUAGGAGAUCUGAAGGAAAGGCCCGGAACCCCAAGGAGAUUCUUCCCACGGGCCCCCCAGAUUCCCGGGGGGGUCCUGCGCCGGCCUGGGCUGAGCAGGGAAACCCUCUGUGCCCAUCGCUUGCAAGGGUCGGCGGGGCCCUGCCUGCCAGCGGAGGAUGCUGCGGGCAGGAGCGAGGGCACCGAGACCCCUCUGGGUGUGGUCACAGCCCCGCCCUGGUCAUCGUCCCUCUGUCGCCUGGCGGCAGGCAGUGGGUUUUCUUUCUGGUGGUAGAGAGGUGGCGACGCCCCGCCUGGCCCCCCGCAGACCUCUGACCUCUGCAGCCUCGGAGCUUCCAUAGCGACCACUCCAGAAUCGUGGAAGGAAGGAGAAGACCAGGCCUCGGGCACAGCCCCUGCUGCCUGGUCACUCAGGCCAGUGUGUUUCUGGAAGUUUCUCUGCCCCUCUCUCUGUCAGAGUUUUUCCCCAGUGUUUGGGGGCUGGUGGUCUCAGCCCGUGGGAGCGGGAGUGCUGGGUGUCUGGUGGUCGGGUGCCCCUGGAGGGCGGGCCGUGGAGGGUAAAGGCCUGCCCCCCCCUGCCCCCUGCCUUCUCUCUGCUCAGUUCAUCGCCCCGGGCAGGCGGGUUGGCCCGAGAUCCGUGGGCACACGCCCAAGGCGAGGCGCUCCGAGGGGGCUCUCUGCAGCCCCGCUGCUGCCCCGGGCGGCCGGCGGCCUAGCCCGUCCUCUCCGCUGGGCUGCCCUGGGUGCUGGGGACACGGGGCAGCUGUGGCAGUCACCUCGGUGGGAGACAGGCUGGAGGAAAAACCCGAGUUAAGACACGUGGGCGUUAACGAAUUAAGUCCUUUGAAGAGUCAGAUGCGGAGGGAGGCCUUGGGACCACGAGGCUGUCCUGGGCUCUGGGCGCAGCCCCUGGGAGUGGCUGCAGGUUCGGACCUCACCCUCCAGUCCCCGAGCUUGUCCUGGUGAAUUUCCAAGCAGAGUAUUUAUUUCUAAGCAGCUGAAAGUUCCUGCGGACGCUUCUGAGGCCACACGGCAGCAGUGCCGGCAGCGCCCUUCAGCCAAGCGUGAGUCAGGACAGGGGUGUGUGUGUGUGUGUGUGUGUGUCGGGGGUGGGGGUGGGGGGCAGUGGGGCUGGGUGGCUGGGAAUGUGCUGGGAGCUUCUGGGUUGGUGGCAGUGAGUGCCCCCCGCCCCGCCCCCCUCCUUCAGCCCUUCAGCAGGUGCGCGUCCAGGGCCACCUGUGCUCAGUGUCAGCCUGGAGCACUCCUAGUCUUGGGUGAGGCUUCAUGCCGUCCCUGUGAGUUGAUGCUUCUGGGCCGGAGCCACAGAGCACCCGCUACCCCAGCACAGCCCCGAGUCAGGCUGCGGUUCUUGCCACCCAGGUCUCCAGGAGGCCCCAGCCGGGGCAGGGUGCGGAGGAGUGUGGGGGGCCCUCAGACAUCUCCGGCUGGCCCUCUGGGCACCUCUGGGCCUUGGGCCCACUUCCCCAGGGGCCGCUGGGACUGCUCACCCUGCCGCCUCCCAAGAGGCCCCCUCCCCCUCUGGCAGGUGCAGGGUUGGGAAGCACCCUGAGGGGCUUCAGGGCCUGGAGGGGCGUCUGCGCUGCGGCCCAGGGCUCGUGCCUGUGCCCCUCAGACUUACUGCGUAGUGGCCUGGCUCUGUGGGGUGGUGCCAGCACCUUGCUGGCAAAUAGUAACCAGAUCACACUGGCCCCAGUGUGUGCCGCAGCGUCCUCCCCGAGCGUCGGGUGCUGUCGAGGCGUCCAGGACACAUGGCAGGUUCCCCGUAACUGAGCCCCACCCCGUUAUCUCUGUCCUGAGGCGGGGAGCCCCCGUGGGGCCCUUGGGGGUGGGGCGGGUGGGAGAAGAGGGGGGACGCACCCGGGACCGCAGCUGGUUAUGCUUAGAAUUAGGUUCAGAGUGGACAUUUGUUUUUCUUCUUAAGUAAAAACAUUCCCAAGCUCAGGUCCAGCUGCGCUGGAGAAGCAGGUGUUGGGAGAAGUGGAGAAGGUUGCUUUCAACUGGAAAGCCUUUGGGGAGAAGACAGACCCAGUGUUUUUCGGGGAGGGGGGGACGGCGCUCAGUCGCUCAUGGAGGGGUCAGUGUCCUCGCCGUCCCGCUGUGAGUGGGCCUGUCCUCCUCGGGGUCCUUCUUGAGAUGCUUUUGUUUUGCACGUGGCACCUGGCAGUUCCUGGGCUGGAGUCGAACCUGUGCCGCAGCCGCUGCCAUGCCGGGUCCUUCCUGCUGCGCCGCAGGGACAGAGGCUGUCUUGUGCACACCGUUUGCUCUCGAGAGGACUGGAGGAGAAGCUGGGGAGGGCUGGUGCUCCGUUACUUGCUUAUUCCUCAUUUCUGCUCCUUUACCCAUGGAGAGGAGCCGCAGGCUGGGUAGGCUGUUGUGUGGUGACAAGACCUGGAAGGUGUGCCCGAGUCAGGCGUGCAGGGCCCAGGGCCUGGCUUGGGGUUGGUUCGGGGUUUGCUACCUGUGAGCUUUGCCAAAGCCACAGGACGAAGGGGGCCGAGGGCGUUUCCCGCAGAGCCGCCUACAGACCCCACGGGUCAGAACCUCAUCCCGUUUCUCUGGGCUCUUGGGUGGAGGCCUGUCAUCUGUAACUUCUUCCUGCUGACGUGGUGCCGUGUCCCCCCGGGGUGUCCCCCUGGGGCUGGGGCGUCUGUUGCUGACUGUUGUACUUUAGGGUGGAACAAGCUGCAUCUGCGUUGCUGCCCAGGAGGCGGAGGUCAUUAAGAGCAGGCGUGCUAAUUCCAUUCCCUGGAGGCUGGUCUGGGGGCCGUGCUGGCCGUAGGAGCAGCUUGUGUCCUGGCUGUGGUCUGGUCGUCACACAGGUAGCUUUUCCUUCUGGCGGCAGUUGCCGUGUCUGUGAAACGGUUCAGGAACAUGCGUCAGAUUGAGUCUGUGACCCUCUCGUCCUGGUCACUAGCUUCUCGAGAAUGCUCUUUUGUGACCCAGGGAGCCCGGGAGGCCCGGCUUUUCUGCAGAUGAGAGGCAGGGGCCGAGGAAGGGCCUGGGCUGGGCUCGGCUGCAGAAAGCACUCCCGGGAGAGCUGUCACCGGGGUCUAAGCCUCCGCAGUAGCCGCCAGCAUCGCCGCGGGGGCUCUUGCUGGGUCCCGGGUCUGCUUAUCACACCCUCCUGGGACAGUGCAGCUGCCCCCGGCCUGGCCGGUGUCCACGCUCCACCGUGACCUACUCGGUCACCCCACAUCCAUCCCAGUGACCUCGCCCUGAGCUCCAGGUCCUGCUGCCGUCCCCCGGGCAUCCAGCAGCGUGGCCGGAGCUGAGGGCAAGGGUUCCCAUGGGGCAGCUGGCAGGGGACUUCCACGUCCUUGCCCCCGCGUCUCCAUCCUGCAGGUCCGUUCCCCAGGCCUGGCUCUUUCCAGUCUGAGGGGGCCGUUCUCCGUGCUGUCCCCACCCCCGGCCCCCUAGAGGGCAGGAUCAGAACCGCCUGUGGCUGUGCUGCUCCAAGUGCAUUUGUCCCCCUGCACCCUGGGGGCCGCUCAAGUGCAUCUGGACGGCUGCCACCCCCACCCAGGGGAGUCGCCCGCUGGCUGGACCCGGCCUCCUCAGCUGUGGGCUUUGCCAGUGACACCUGGGAACACCCACUCCGCAUGCCCCUCCCGGGCCUGCUGUCCACAGGCUGUCCUCUCUCUGGUAAGGGACCCAAGAGACGGCCCCAGGUCUCAGGGAAGGGACCCCAGGCUGGACUUCCUGUUGCUCAGGUCAGGCCCCUGCCUCUGGGACAGCUGGCCUUCUGCUCUGGAGCUUGGGGGUGACCUUCAGGAAACAGCCCCCCUCAGUGUGUACCCCCCCAUGACUGUCUGUGCUAGGCCCACAGCAGUCGCCUAAUUUCGAAUGUAAUGAGCGGUUCAGACGCUGGGCAUCAGCCAGUGCUCCUUGUGCCUGUGCUGGUCACCUGGGAGCAGUCUUUCGUUAGGCAGUCACUGUGGAUGCACAUUGGAGCCCAAGAAAAGGUGUGGGUUGGGGCGGGGGGAGGACAGUCGGAGGACCCAGCCCUGGGGCCUGCGGGGCGGGGGCUGCUGGGCGCCUGGCCUGGGGCUUGGGUGACGUGGGGGCUCCUCAGGCUUUCUGAGCUCAGGUUCCCUGAGCGGGGGCAGAGUCCAGGUGGGCUCAGUGUGGCUUCUGCCACUGGCCCUGCACCUGGCGCUCCACGGUGUGGCUUUGUGAUUCGGAAGGUGGGAGCCCCGCUGGGGCUCCUCCUGCUCAGGCCAGUGGUCAAGGGCAGGCUGGGUCACGUGACCAGGCCGGGCUGUGAGUGCUACUGGGGACAGCAAGGCUGGUGGACUGGGUUUCUGGCUGGUGUCCAGGUGGCGCUGUCGCCUGGGCAGAAGGAAAGGCACGGGGGGAGGGGAGGGCCCUGAGGCGCGGAGGGCAGGAGCCUUCUGAAUGUGAACCAGGCCUUGGGUAGGGCGCUCUGCCAGGCAGCGGGCGGCACCUCUCGUGUAGCAGUCUGUCUGCUUGAUUCGUGACUUCCAAGAACGUUGACAUGAUUGUGUGUGGCAUGCGGGCUCUCAUGGGCAGACGUGAGCAGUGGGCCUGGUUUGGCUGACGCCUGUGUCCUCAGAGCCCAGGACAGUGCCUGAGACACGGCGGGUGCUCAAGGAAGGUCUGCCCAGCACACAAAUCCCACUCUGGACACCCCCCUGCCCUGUGUGAAUCGCUGUCCCUGAGAGGUGGGGGUGCGCGGAGAAAAACACGCCAGGGCGAGGCCGACUCCUUAAAAGGGGACUUUAUUUGCUCCUCCGGGGCCGCGCACCAGGGCCCGGCCCGCUCGGCACACGACAACUCCGACAGCUCCCAGAGGCUGCUGCUCCGUUUGGAACCGAGACCGCCUGGCACUAAACACACACUGAAAACAUCAACACUCUUCCCUUUUUUUCCUUUUUUUUUUUUUUUUUGAUACAAAAUGAUACAAACAACAAUACAAAAUAGUUGUGCUGUUGACGAUUACAAAAAAAGUUGGAACGUAGUCGAACUGCGCAGAGUUGCAGCGUGAAUACAGCAUACCCAGUAUCCUUCCCCAGAACAACCACAGUCAUGCGGGCUGCUACACAUUGUGUCCAUUUCAAAAAGAAACAUG
rnacentral:lncRNA from 1 species